AGCGAACGCUGGCGGCAGGCCUAACACAUGCAAGUCGAACGAACCUUUCGGGGUUAGUGGCGGACGGGUGAGUAACACGUGGGAACGUGCCUUUAGGUUCGGAAUAACUCAGGGAAACUUGUGCUAAUACCGAAUGUGCCCUUCGGGGGAAAGAUUAAUCGCCUUUAGAGCGGCCCGCGUCUGAUUAGCUAGUUGGUUGAGGUAAUGCUCACCAAGGCGACGAUCAGUAGCUGGUCUGAGAGGAUGAUCAGCCACAUUGGGACUGAGACACGGCCCAAACUCCUACGGGAGGCAGCAGUGGGGAAUCUUGCGCAAUGGGCGAAAGCCUGACGCAGCCAUGCCGCGUGAAUGAUGAAGGUCUUAGGAUUGUAAAAUUCUUUCACCGGGGACGAUAAUGACGGUACCCGGAGAAGAAGCCCCGGCUAACUUCGUG
rnacentral:rRNA from 1 species